rnacentral:rRNA from 1 species
AACGAACGCUGGCGGCAUGCCUAACACAUGCAAGUCGAACGAGACCUUCGGGUCUAGUGGCGCACGGGUGCGUAACGCGUGGGAACCUGCCCUUAGGUUCGGAAUAACUCCCCGAAAGGGGUGCUAAUACCGGAUAAUGUCUUCGGACCAAAGAUUUAUCGCCUUUGGAUGGGCCCGCGUUGGAUUAGCUAGUUGGUAGGGUAAAAGCCUACCAAGGCGACGAUCCAUAGCUGGUCUGAGAGGAUGAUCAGCCACACUGGGACUGAGAUACGGCCCAGACUCCUACGGGAGGCAGCAGUGGGGAAUAUUGGACAAUGGGCGAAAGCCUGAUCCAGCAAUGCCGCGUGAGUGAUGAAGGCCUUAGGGUUGUAAAGCUCUUUUACCCGGGAUGAUAAUGACAGUACCGGGAGAAUAAGCGCCGGCUAACUCCGUG